rnacentral:rRNA from 1 species
GACGAACGCUGGCGGCGUGCCUAAUACAUGCAAGUCGAACGCAGUGGGAACAGGUGAUUAGCACGUGGGUAACCUCCCAUCAGAGGAGAUAACACUUGGAAACAGGUGCUAAACCGCUACUGAUGGAUGGACCCGCGGUGAAUUAGCUAGUUGGGGGGGUAACGGCUCACCAAGGCCACGAUGCAUAGCCGACCUGGGAGGGGGAUCGGCACAACUGGGACGGGGACACGGCCCAGACUCCUACGGGAGGCAGCAGUAGGGAAUUUUCGGCAAUGGACGAAAGUCUGACCGAGCAACGCCGCGGGAGUGAAGAAGGUUUUCGGAUCGUAAAGCUCUGUUGUUAGAGAAGCGGUAUCUAACCAGAAAGCCACGGCUAACUACGUGCCAGCCGCCGCGGUAAUUC